rnacentral:rRNA from 1 species
UACGUAGGGGGCAAGCGUUGUCCGGAAUCAUUGGGCGUAAAGAGCGUGUAGGCGGCCCGAUAAGUCCGCUGUGAAAGUCCAGGGCUCAACCCUGGAAUGCCGGUGGAUACUGUCGGGCUCGAAUCCGGAAGAGGAGAGUGGAAUUCCUGGUGUAGCGGUGAAAUGCGCAGAUAUCAGGAAGAACACCCGUGGCGAAGGCGGCUCUCUGGGACGGUACUGACGCUGAGACGCGAAAGCGUGGGGAGCGAACAGG